GCCCCCGUAGUCUAGAGGCCAAGGACACCACCCUCUCAAACGAACGAAGUACCAAAAAGACUUUGUUCAAAAUAGGAGAGGUGAUUCAAAACUCGAUGAGAGAAUAGGGUCUAGCAUCUCAAUGCAAUCUCUCUUGGAGAACGGUGGUAACCCGAGUUCAAAUCUCGGCGGGGGCA
rnacentral:tRNA from 1 species